rnacentral:pre_miRNA from 1 species
UUAACUCGCAGCCAUAAGUUUUUGUGUCUAAUUUUUAUUAUCUAUUUUAUUUAUUUUUUAUAAUUAGUAUUUUUUUAUUGUUAUUAGAUGAUAAAACAUGAACAUUUUUUAUAAAAAAAUUAAAUAAGACGAACAAUUAAAUUUGGACACGGAAACUCAUAGCUGUGUUUAAA